GGGCCCGUAGCUCAAUUGGUUAGAGCUGACCGCUCAUAACGGUUAGGUUGCAGGUUCGAGUCCUGCCGGGCCUACCA
rnacentral:tRNA from 2 species